rnacentral:rRNA from 1 species
AGAAUCAACGCUGGCGGCGUGCCUCAGACAUGCAAGUCGAACGAUUAAAGCUCUCUUCGGAGAGUGUAUAGAGUGGCGCACGGGUGAGUAACACGUAAGUAAUCUACCUUCGAGUGGGGAAUACCGUCCGGAAACGGACGCUAAUACCGCAUAAUGCAGCGGCAUCGUAAGAUGACAGUUGUUAAAGUAUUUUUAUCGCUUGAAGAGGUAGCUUGCGGCAGAUUAGCUAGUUAGGUAAGUAAGUGGCUUACCAAGGCUACGAUCU